GUCCAGUAGUUACACUGGCUAUAAUGUCCUUCAAACCGGAACACAACAGUGACUACACAUUGUUGCUUGGCCGCAGAUAUAGACAUUACAGUGGUACCUCGCGGACACUCGCAUAUCAGAGACCUACCACCAGUAUAUGUAUGAGGCCAAUCAUUCAGUAUACUAGCUAUAGACGUUUAUUUGUAACAAGGUUUUAAUGUAGUUGGAAAUAUCUAAGUUAUAUUACUUGAUUACGGCACUGGGGUCAAAUUACAUUACUUACAAUCAAACUUUCCGGUAGUCAAGGGCUUGGCUGUGCUUCUGGCAUUGCAUAGUCUAUGGGCGUUGGAUGUGAUGUGUUGGAUCAGGCGGAAUGAUAUCUCGUUUGCUUAGUAAGGCAAUAAAAAAAAAUAAUGGCCACCUGGUUCAAUAUAUUAUUUCACAAUUUAAUACAUACAAUUAUUAUUGAUUUAUCUCAUUUCAGAUACGCUUUGAUGUUGAAAAAGUUUCUACUCGACCGAAAACCACCAACAUAGGAGGUUAAUUUGAAUAUAAAAGUUCCUAAUAAUCGGCAUUUCUGGUAUCACAUCACCAACGUUGAACAACUGACGGAUGCAACUACACGUGGACGUAAAUCUCGAUAGUGGCUGGCGAGUGACUGUUAAAUGGAACCAUUUUUCUACUAACACUUGCAAAUUUUAGAAAGUAGAAGAUUUCGAAGAAACACUGUUACGAACGUAACUCGGCUUUAGUAUGCGCCAUUCUUGAAAGGAAAUGCGCCUCGACUGUAAGUUUUGAUAUCAAGAGUUUCUUCGCUCUUAGUCGAUAAAUUGAUGUAAGUUUAAAAUGAAAAAUACACGUUAUUCAGUCUCUAUA
rnacentral:lncRNA from 1 species